rnacentral:rRNA from 1 species
UACGAAGGGGACUAGCGUUGUUCGGAAUUACUGGGCGUAAAGCGCGCGUAGGCGGACCUGCAAGUCGGGGGUGAAAGCCCGAGGCUCAACCUCGGAACUGCCUUCGAUACUGCGGGUCUCGAGUCCGGGAGAGGUGAGUGGAAUUCCUAGUGUAGAGGUGAAAUUCGUAGAUAUUAGGAAGAACACCAGUGGCGAAGGCGGCUCACUGGCCCGGUACUGACGCUGAGGCGCGAAAGCGUGGGGAGUAAACAGG